GAUGAACGCUGGCGGCGUGCCUAAUACAUGCAAAUCGAGCGAACAGACGAGGAGCUUGCUCCUCUGACGUUAGCGGCGGACGGGUGAGUAACACGUGGAUAACCUACCUAUAAGACUGGGAUAACUUCGGGAAACCGGAGCUAAUACCGGAUAAUAUAUUGAACCGCAUGGUUCAAUAGUGAAAUACGGUUUUGCUGUCACUUAUAGAUGGAUCCGCGCCGCAUUAGCUAGUUGGUAAGGUAACGGCUUACCAAGGCAACGAUGCGUAGCCGACCUGAGAGGGUGAUAGCCCACACUGGAACUUAGACGCGGUCAAGACUCCUACGGGAGGCAGCAGUAGGGAAUCUUACGCAGUGGGCGAAAGCCUGACGGAGCAACGCCGCGUGAGUGAUGAAGGUCUUCGGAUCGUAAAACUGUGUUAUUAGGGAAGAACAGAUGUGUAAGUAACUAUGCACGUCUUGACGGUACCUAAUCAGAAAGCCACGGCUAACUACGUG
rnacentral:rRNA from 1 species